rnacentral:rRNA from 1 species
UACAGAGGUCUCAAGCGUUGUUCGGAUUCAUUGGGCGUAAAGGGUGCGUAGGUGGCGCGGUAAGUCGGGUGUGAAAUUUCGGAGCUUAACUCCGAAACUGCAUUCAAUACUGCCGUGCUUGAGGACUGGAGAGGAGACUGGAAUUUACGGUGUAGCAGUGAAAUGCGUAGAGAUCGUAAGGAAGACCAGUGGCGAAGGCGGGUCUCUGGACAGUUCCUGACACUGAGGCACGAAGGCCAGGGGAGCAAACGGG